rnacentral:sRNA from 1 species
CCUUGAGCAUGGACAGCCUGGAUCUGCUGGGGUAACUGAAACCAGAGAAAGCAAGACUGAGGAUAAGGGAGGGGCCUCCUGUACUCCAAGAGCACUGAAUCCGGAAAAACUCAACACAUUGAUGGAGUCAUAUAUUUAAUUUUUUCUUAAAAGCCACCUGCGGGAUAUUGUAGAAACACUGCGCUGCCAAUCACAGCUUGUGAUGUGACACAUUCAUUCUGCAAGUUUAAACUUCCCCUAGAUUGGUUCUUGGGGAAAAGCUGUGUUUCAGAGACAAGAUUGAAGAACUUCACCUGCAUAUGAUGGAGGAUGAGAAUGGGAACCACAGGUGUCAUUGGUGGUUUUGUUUUACAAAGUCUUCACAUUUCUGCUGAGUCACGGGACUAAGUUCAACACAAUUUCUACUUUCCGCCUUCCUUUGGAAUAAUAGUUUUGGAAGCCAAGUAUUAGUAUAUGAUAUCAGGUGUGUUCUCUAAAGAUUCAGGUUCAGUGGGCUGAAUGCACUUUUGUGACUUCUUUAGACCACUGAGCCCAAGGAGAAAAGUGCCAAUCUUACUAGACAUGAGGAAAAAGACACAUCUUUUGCUCUUGCUGGAAGUGACUUUCUACAAGCAGUCAUCAUCUGGUUUAUACUUGACUUGUUCAGUUUUCAUGUGAUAUUUUAUUCUCUGCCUAAUAGAUAUUAAAGUAUCAAGGUGUCAA